AUCGCUAUGGCUUAGUGGGAAAGCGCCAGGCUCAUACGUUUGUGAUCACCUGGAGAUCCCUCGAUCGAAACGAGGUGGCGAUA
rnacentral:tRNA from 1 species